rnacentral:misc_RNA from 1 species
UCACCCCUCAAGCCCCGCGCUUGGUGUUGGACGGCCUGGCCGGGACACGUUCCCGGCCCCUCCUAAAGACAAUGACGGCGGCCUCGUGGGACCCCCGGUACACUGAGCUUUUAACGAGCACGUACCGGACUAAGGGUGCCCGGGGCACGGUCUUACCCAUACUUUUUUACAA